rnacentral:antisense_RNA from 1 species
UGCCUGGAGUGAAGAUUCUGCCCAUUGGUCAAGAGACCUCCCUCUCAGAUGCUGGCUCUGCCCCUGCCUUUGGGGGUCGACCCUUGUACUCGCAGGACCUUAGGUGACUCUAUUCUACUUCUCUGAUCAUCCAGGAAACCAAUCUGCCUGAGGACGAGUCAUACUCUGUCCUCCCACCCCAGGCUAGAGAGUGGUAUCUGUCUUUCCACAAGUUGAGCUGGCCAUAAAGAAAUUCUCUGACCUACUCUGUUUGGUAGUAGGUCCUCAGAUCCGCAUUCCAAAGGGAUCCUGUCCCAUACUUGGGAGCAAGAAAUGUCACACAGAGAGGCCAUGAAGAACUCAAACAGAGAGGCCUGGCUGGGUCCUUCUUUCAGUCUAUGAUUCUUAGAUUACAGCCUUUUGUCCCAUCACACUUCUGUAUUCUGCACAGCCUUAGUGGAUUCUAAGUAUGCAAGUGGCCAGUUUCUUUGGAUAUCUGAGUCUUCAUUUAUGAAGACUCCAGUGUCAGGACCAUAUUGUGACUGAAACAAGGCAUAACAGGUCUUUGACUAGCUAUCCUGUGGGUGUGGCCUCAGGGUAGCCUGCAGAAAGUGGUGAGCAAGGUGGUUGGGAAAAUCAAAGGAGGGGGUAAGGUAGUGGCAGGUAACUAUCGAUAAUCUGCUCUUCUUCACAGAAAGACAGGCAAUUAGAUUGAAAAAUACCUGUGAUUCAAAGAAGUCACAAGUCACAGAGACAAACUUUUCCCAGUGUGUUCGAGUCAGAGAACCUUUGCAAAGACCAACAGGCUAAAAGAGAAAAUACAGUGUCAUCUUGAUGCAGAUGAGCAGGUAGCCAUGGAAGUCAUGAGCUGAGGCUGCAGAGUCUAGAGCCAGAGCGUGGAAUAAACUUGGGUCUCAAAUCACCCCUGGAGCAAAGCCCCCAUCUAAUCAGGAACUUCUACUUUCAACUUUACAUGCGUGAGAAAUGAACUUCUAUCAUGUUAGAGAAAUCCUUACACGGUGCCCUUGAGAGCUUUCAUACCGCAAGUUAU